GCUGGGCGUGUUGGCACACGCUUGUAAUCCCAGCUACUCGGGAGGCUGAGGCAGGAGGAUCGCUUGAACCCAGGAGGUGGAGGUUGCAGUGAGCCGAGGUCGUGCCACUGCACUUCAGCCUGGGUGACAGAGCAAGACUCUGUCUCUA
rnacentral:SRP_RNA from 1 species